UAAAAAUUUUGGCGGUAUUUUAGUCUAUUCAGAGGAACUUGUUUUAUAAUCGAUAAUCCUCGAUGGACCUCACUUAAAUUAGUUUACAGUUUAUAUACCGUCGUUAUUAGAAUAUUUUAUAAGAAUAUUAAUUUUCAUAAUUUUUAAAAAGAAAAUAUAUCAGAUCAAGGUGUAGCUAAUAUUUAAGUAAAAAUGAGUUACAAUAAAAAUUUAUUUAAAUGGAUAUAAUUUUGAAAUAUUUAUUGAAGGUGGAUUUGAUAGUAAAAUUAUAUAGAUUAUUAUUUUGAUUUUAGCUCUAAAAUAUGUACAUAUCGCCCGUCACUCUUGUUAUAAGAUAAGAUAAGUCGUAACAUAGUAGAUGUAUUGGAAAAUGUAUCUAGAUUACAAUUUAAAUCUUAAAUAGUAAAGUAUUUCAUUUACAUUGAAAAGAUUUUUGUGCAAAUCAUUAUAAAUUGAUUAUUAUUUAUUUAUUAAUUUUUUUUUAAAAAUAAUUAAUAAUUAUUAAAAAUAAUUAUAAUAUUAAUAUUGUUUAAGUAUUUUAUAAAGAAAAAAUAAAUUUAAUUAUAGUUUAAUAGUAUUGUAAAAGAAUAUUGAAAUAAUUUGAAAAAUUAUUAUUGUAAAAGAAAAUU
rnacentral:rRNA from 1 species